AAUUUAGUAGCCGAAUGGAAAAUAAAAAAAUAAUUUCUCUUUGGCGACCAAACUUUUAGUUGCCAAAAACGUACUUUCAGCGACAAAAAGAAAGUUUAGUCGCCAAAACUAAAAUAUUUGGAGGGAUUAAUUCAAAAUUUGGAGAGAUUUUAUAAAACUAAUCGGCGACUAAUUGAGAUUUAGUCGCUAAUGGUCUUUUCGCUACAUUACACUUUUGGCUACAAAAAGUUUAGUCGGUAUUGAUUAUUCUUUGGCGACUAAAUAUAAUUUUAGUCGCUAAAGGUAGAAACAAUUUUUUUGUUUUAGAGGGAACUGAAUAUUGGUGCCCGCGCCCCUCUUUCACACAAAUUUUUUUUUUUUUCAGAUGAGAAGACAAAAAUAGUUGCGUCAUUUUCUUCUUAUUCUGUUCAAUCUCUUACUGCUUUCACAUUUCAUCUAUCAAUUCCCACAUUCCUCCAUCAACUCUCUUCAUUCCAAACCCUAAUUCACUACUUUCGUUAUCCAUAUCAUCAAUAAACUAAGUCACUGACAAUCAUGAAUUUUCAAACCCUAAUCAACGCAGAUUCGAUCUUCAAAAUUCAAUCAGUUUGGUUUGGGGAAUUGGAGGGACGAUGAGUGCUCAGAAGAAGAGGAAUUUUCAGAUAGAAGCUUUUAAACAUCGGGUCGUGGUGGAUCCGAAAUACGCAGAGAAGACUUGGAAGAUCUUGGAACAUGCGAUUCAGGAGAUAUACAAUCACAAAAUUGGUUGUGUUCUCUCUCUCUCUCUCUCUCCUUGGGCUCACUGCCUCCAUUGCCUUGUUUCGACCACUUGCUCUUUUGGAUUUCGAGUGAUUGUCUGCCUAAACAUGCGAUUUUCAUCCUUCAUUGGUGUACCCAGAUGGGAAAAUGAGUCAGCAUUUUGCAAGCUUAAAACCUGGCGAUGUAGUGGAAGUGAAAGGGGUUUCUCUUGCAUUUUGGUUUUAUUGCUCCAUUGUCAUAUAAAAUAUUGGUUCUAUACCCUUAUCUAGUAACUCUUCCUUGAGUGAUCUGAAAAUGGCUUCGUUGUGUGGACUUGUGGAUAAUUCAUAUUGGUGUAUGGAGAAGAAUUUUCCCUUUCGUAUAGAACUAAUAUAAUAAUUUUGUCGUCAUCGACUUUUGGAUAGUUCACUAUUAUUGAAUAUGAUGGUUGGAAUAAUCAAUACAGAUUACGAUGGUAAUUUGUACCAUGCCAAAUGGUCAUUUCACAUGGUAUAGUAAAUGUAAUUUUUGUAUAUGUACUUUUUAUAUGAUUGUAUAUGUUGUAUGGAAUUAUUAUUUUAGUUUGGACAAUAGUUCGUUUGUAUGUACUUGGACAGUUAAAGUAAUUUAUUUUUUGUAUACGGAUGCAGAUUGUGGAAUGAU